GGUUAAGAUGUGGUUAAGAUGUGGUUAAGAUGUUGGACUACCGAUCGGAAGGUCAUGAGUUCAAUCCCCAGCACCACCA